UACAGCCACAUCACAUUGAAACACCAGUUCUCAUACAGUCUCCAAAGUUAAGCAAUGUUGAGCUUGAUCAGUACUUGGAUGGGUGGCCAAUUGGGAAUAACAGAUUCUGUA